rnacentral:rRNA from 1 species
GUGUCAGCCGCCGCGGUAAAACGUAGGGGGCGAGCGUUAUCCGGAAUUACUGGGCGUAAAGCGCGUGCAGGCGGCUUGGUAGGUUGGACGUGAAAGCUCCUGGCUUAACUAGGAGAGGCCGUUCAAAACCGCCAGGCUUGAGGACGGAAGAGGGGAGUGGAAUUCCCGGUGUAGUGGUGGAAUGCGUAGAUAUCGGGAGGAACACCUGUGGCGAAAGCGGCUCCCUAGUCCGUAUCUGACGCUCAGACGCGAAAGCGUGGGGAGCGAACGGGAUUAGAUACCCUCGUAGUCC